rnacentral:sRNA from 1 species
GCUGGGCGUGGUGGCUCCCACCUGUAAUCCCAGUGGCUUGGGAGGCUUGAGGCAGGAAGAUCUCAAGUUUGAGGCUAGCCUCAGCAACUUAGUGAGACCCUGUCUCAA